GGUUGUGUAGUGUAGUGGUUAUCACUCCGGAUUUUGAUCUUAAAGGAAAGCUUCCGGUAACCUGGGUUCGAGUCCCAGCACGACCU